GCCAAAUUCUAUUCAGACUCCCUGUCCUCUUUCUCUCUCUCUCUCUUCAUCCCCUUGUUUCUCUUAAAUCCAUAUGUCCUUCACCGUGUCACUCUAUUAUAUAUCUGCACACACACACACACACACCUCUCUCUCAGGUACAGCAGUGGCGUCUCCAUCACCCCAGAGACUUCUUCAGUGGCAGUGUACUGCUGCAGUGGUGCGCAGGAAUGAGGACAGCUGGUGCUGAGAGGGCCGGGCGUGACUUUCCCAUGACUUCCUGGACAACUAUGAAAUGUAUUCGAGACUGUAACAUCAACCUGGAGCUGAAGAUGGAAAAAAGCCUUUUGGUUAAAUCUGACACUUCUCCACCAUGGACAUAAAAGAAUAAAGAAAGAUGUAGCA